UACGAAGGGGGCUAGCGUUGUUCGGAAUUACUGGGCGUAAAGGGCGCGUAGGCGGCCUGCUAAGUCGAACGUGAAAUCCCUGGGCUCAACCCAGGAACUGCGUCCGAUACUGGUUGGCUUGAAUCCGGGAGAGGGAUGUGGAAUUCCAGGUGUAGCGGUGAAAUGCGUAGAUAUCCGGAGGAACACCGGUGGCGAAGGCGGCGUCCUGGACCCAACACUG
rnacentral:rRNA from 1 species